rnacentral:lncRNA from 1 species
UUGGGAUUACAGGCGUGAGCCACUGUGCCCAGCCUCCAGCAUGAUUUUUUUAGGCCGUUCUUUUGUUUGAAAGAAUUCAACUAAGGAUCCACUCUGCCUGCCUGACCGGUUUCUUCCUUUCUUCUCUCUCAUCGGGUCCCGAGUUCCCAUGACUGCAGCUUCCAGAAGAGCAGAGCUUUGGUAUCCUACUCACAGCGCCAAAACUGCAGGGGCCAAGGAAAGAUACAAAAUUCUUGUGUGCAGCCUCUUUUGGACUCCAGCUCUUGUUCUCUCGCUGAAUCCCACCGCCACCCCUUCAAGUCAUCGGCUGUGAUUCACCUGUGGGUUUCUGAAGGCUAGAAGCUUCCACAAUGAGCCAGGAAACAAGUUCUGAUUGGCUGGGAACAGACCUCUGCUCCAAGAUUCAGGGCUGGCAGUAUUCCUUCUGUUCUGGUGGCUCGAUCUUCAUUGCUUUCCUCUGGACUUCAAUACACGUAUCUUCAGAGAAUCUCAGCCUCCCUGCAGCAUCCUCCUGGUGCACAGAAAAACUGCUGAAUUCUGGCAAGAUACUCAAAGGAUUCUGACGGGUGACCAUCUCAGGCCGGAGAUAUGCCCAACCAACUGGAAAAGCAGAGACAGCCAUGGACAGAUCUGCUGACGCUAAAGUUUAUAGACAGCUGAGGUGCAACCCAUAUA